rnacentral:rRNA from 1 species
UACGUAGGGUGCAAGCGUUAAUCGGAAUUACUGGGCGUAAAGCGUGCGCAGGCGGUUUUGUAAGUCUGUCGUGAAAUCCCCGGGCUUAACCUGGGAAUGGCGAUGGAGACUGCAAGGCUAGAGUUUGGCAGAGGGGGGUAGAAUUCCACGUGUAGCAGUGAAAUGCGUAGAGAUGUGGAGGAACACCGACGGCGAAGGCAGCCCCCUGGGUCAAAACUGACGCUCAUGCACGAAAGCGUGGGGAGCAAACAGG